GAUGAAGAACGUAGCGAAAUGCGAUAAGUAAUGUGAAUUUCAGAAUUCAGUGAAUCAUCGAAUCUUUGAACGCACAUUGCGCCCGCCAGUAUUCUGGCGGGCAUGCCUGUUCGAGCGUCAUUACAACCCUCAGGCCCCCGGGCCUGGCGUUGGGGAUCGGCGGAGCCCCCCGUGGGCACACGCCGUCCCCCAAAUGCAGUGGCGGUCCCGCCGCAGCUUCCAUCGCGUAGUAGCUAACACCUCGCGACUGGAGAGCGGCGCGGCCACGCCGUAAAACACCCAACUCUUCUGAAGUUGACCUCGAAUCCGGUAGGAAUACCCGCUGAGCUUAAGCAUAUCAAUAAGCGGAGGA
rnacentral:misc_RNA from 1 species